rnacentral:rRNA from 1 species
UACGUAGGUGGCAAGCGUUAUCCGGAUUUAUUGGGUGUAAAGGGCGUGUAGGCGGGAGCGCAAGUCAGAUGUGAAAACUCAGGGCUCAACCCUGAGCCUGCAUUUGAAACUGUGUUUCUUGAGUGCUGGAGAGGCGAUCGGAAUUCCGUGUGUAGCGGUGAAAUGCGUAGAUAUACGGAGGAACACCAGUGGCGAAGGCGGAUUGCUGGACAGUAACUGACGCUGAGGCGCGAAAGCGUGGGGAGCAAACAGG